rnacentral:rRNA from 1 species
AUUGAACGCUGGCGGCAUGCUUUACACAUGCAAGUCGGACGAGUGGCGAACGGGUGAGUAACGCAUCGGAACGUACCGAGUAAUGGGGGAUAACUGUCCGAAAGGACAGCUAAUACCGCAUAUUAUUCGAGCGGCCGAUGUCUGAUUAGCUGGUUGGCGGGGUAAAGGCCCACCAAGGCGACGAUCAGUAGCGGGUCUGAGAGGAUGAUCCGCCACACUGGGACUGAGACACGGCCCAGACUCCUACGGGAGGCAGCAGUGGGGAAUUUUGGACAAUGGGCGCAAGCCUGAUCCAGCCAUGCCGCGUGUCUGAAGAAGGCCUUCGGGUUGUAAAGGACUUUUGUCAGGGAAGCGGUACCUGAAGAAUAAGCACCGGCUAACUACGUGCCAGCAGCCGCGGUAAUAC